rnacentral:misc_RNA from 1 species
AAGUCGUAACAAGGUUUCCGUAGGUGAACCUGCGGAAGGAUCAUUAACAUAUUCCAUUCACACGCGUCUUGGAGAAGGGUUAACGAAUUUCUCUCUCUCUCUCUCUUUCUAAGAAUAAGAAAGAGAGGGGAGGAGAAGGUUUUAUUCGGACACCCAUCUCUAUCUUAAGAGACACAUAUAUUUUUAACUUUUGACACAAAAACCUCGAGUUUCUCCUCUUGUUAAGAGAAGAAUCUUGUUUUUAUUUAACAACCUUUUUUGGUGUUUAAAAAACAACUUUUAACAAUGGAUCUCUUGGCUCUU